UGUGACAUAUCAUUCAAGUUUCUGACCUAUCAGCUUUAGACGGUAGGGUAUUGGCCUACCGUGGCUAUGACGGGUAACGGGGAAUUAGGGUUCGAUUCCGGAGAGGGAGCCUGAGAAACGGCUACCACAUCUAAGGAAGGCAGCAGGCGCGCAAAUUACCCAAUCCUAAUACAGGGAGGUAGUGACAAGAAAUAACAAUACAGAGCCUUACGGUUUUGUAAUUGGAAUGAGUUAAGUAUAAACCCCUUAACAAGUAUCAAUUGGAGGGCAAGUCUGGUGCCAGCAGCCGCGGUAAUUCCAGCUCCAAUAGCGUAUAUUAAAGUUGUUGCAGUUAAAAAGCUCGUAGUUAAUUUUCUGUUAAUUUUUAUAUACAAUGCUACGGUAUUUAUAUAAUAUUAACAUAAUUCAUAUUACUUUUUAGUAUAUGAAACUUUACUUUGAGAAAAUUAGAGUGCUUAAAGCAGGCUAUUGCCUUGAAUACUCCAGCAUGGAAUAAUAUUAAGGAUUUUUAUUCUUCUUAUUGGUUCUAGAAUAAAAAUAAUGAUUAAUAGGGACAGUUGGGGGCAUUUGUAUUUAACAGUCAGAGGUGAAAUUCUUAGAUUUGUUAAAGACAAACUACUGCGAAAGCAUUUGCCAAGGAUGUUUUCAUUAAUCAAGAACGAAAGUUAGGGGAUCGAAGACGAUCAGAU
rnacentral:rRNA from 1 species